rnacentral:sRNA from 1 species
CCGGGUUGGGGCGGCCCCGCGCUCGGCCCGGGAACCGAUCCGCUGUGAGGGCUCCUCCAUCUCCUCCCACCCCGUGACCUGCUCGACGCGCAACAGCCCGAGUUGUCUUUAACUUGCUGCGGCAGCCUCUUUGUCCCGACCCAGGGUCGGGGACACCUCUCGGCCUGGCCCGGCCCUGCCCGUAGCCAUGUGGGACAUGUGGAUUUGGGAUAUGAAUUCAUUUGAAAAACCACUUUGGGGGUAUGAACGUGAUUUCUGAUGAAACUGGAUUGG